GUUGAGAGCUCAGAAGCAAAAAGGGUACCACUGCAAAAAGGGAGUAAAUUAGAUCUUGCCCAAGGGGACUUGGAAGUCGGAGGGCAUCAAAGAGAAUAGAUGCUCGAAGCUCGAAAAUAAGAUAAACCUUUUGAGCCAUCUCGACUAUCGCUGUGCCCCCAGAUUUGUUGAAAAGAAGUCGGGUAGUAAGAAGUUGGAU
ensembl:ncRNA F49E10.15 ncRNA